UGAACAAGGGUCGCCGUCGGUCUCCAUCCUGGCGUUCCUCCUGGGGUCCCCGAGCGCUCCGCCCUCCCUCCCAAGCGGGUCUCUUGGCCCCUUAAACAGCAACAGGGACAUUGGGGCAGGUUUUCCUGAGCGUCAGAUGUUCUCACACAUACUUCGUGCCCGUGAUGAUAGACGUGCUCCCUGGAAUGGGUUGACCCUCCGCUUGCGCAGGAGCCUAAAGAGCGCAAAUCUAUGAUUUCUAUGCAGAUUUCCAGGCAGGUGGGAAUACAGGACAGGUUCUUCACUUACCUGUGGCCACCUUGAAGGACCUCAAGCUUGAGGAUGGGUUCUUUGGUGCCCGUGGAGAUCAAUGAAUAGAAAUGAUUCAUUGCACCUCUCUGCCAUCGGAUUAUAAAAAUUUGGGAUUGGAGGCUCCCCCAGCUCGUAUUUCAUGCUUUAUGCAGGCUGUUGCUCCAAGCUUGGCUCUUCCAUCUGCCCGAAGCAUUUUGCGAUUCCUCUCCAGAACCUUACCUUUUUGAAUCCACCUCACAGCCUCUGAUGAAGGAUGGGUGACCUGCUUGGCCAGUUCCUGCACGUUUCAUUCUUCAUCUCUGCAAAGUAUCAGAGAAGCCUAAAACAACAUUUUAAAAACUUUAUUAUUGCAUGGUUUUAAUGCUUGUGAGGUGCCUUUGGUAUCCUGUGGGGAAGAACGGGGAUAUUUUGAAUUUACCCCUGGCCCACAGGCACUCAGUGCUUCAAACAAUGAACAUUUUAAGACAUCAGGGACUUACUUCUUCCUGAUCAGAGGUUCAAAAAGAUUGCCCCCUCCCCCCACCUCCACAUGUAUACUCAUGUGCUGAGGACUUUUU
rnacentral:lncRNA from 1 species